GGGCCUGUGGUGUCGCCUGGAUAUCACCGGGGCCUCCGGAGCCCCAGACCCGGAUUCGAAUUCCGGCAGGCCCG
rnacentral:tRNA from 1 species